rnacentral:lncRNA from 10 species
GUGGCCCUGGGACACCUCCGUGUCAGGCUCCUGGCCUUUGGAACUGUGGCAGCAGGCAUCUCUGUUGCUUUAGGUCCCCAGUUUGUGGAAUUUCCUGGAGUCCUGGAGGCUCGCACAGGCAGCGGAGAAGACAUCAGGUCAUAUACCAAGCAGAAGGCUGAGAGACGGGAACAUAACGGGAAUUACUCCAGAAGAAAAUAAUUCCUCCCUCAAAGUCCUGUACAAAUGUCGUGUCCCUCCCACCUGCCUUGUCACCCAGGUGCCCUGUGGGAGAAGCUUCUGGGUGCUUCUGGAGACGGAGAUCCAGGGUCCUCGAGGGCCCAGCUUUGCAGGAGAAGUAGACAGGCCCCCACCGGUCCCCACGCCUGGAGACCGUGCCAAAUUCCAUGCACAUUAAACUCAGCCCAGGGCGUCAGAGGCCCCCCUUCAGCGGCCUCCUCAGAACCUCCCAGACCCGCUGUGGCUGCAGGCCUGGCCCUGGUGUCCUGGAUGGAGGAGCAGAGGCCUGGAGAGCUGACUCUGUGGACAGCCCCCGGCCUCACUGCACACCAAGGACAACUUCACACUAACAGCAUCCGUGCAGGGCCGCCCACAGGCCCGGGCAGGGGUGUCACAGUUUCCAGAAGCCCCUGCUUGUGUCUUGCCUUUUUCACGCAGACGACUGCACACAUCCCGGCGCCGGCCUCGCUCUGAGGACCAGAUGGGCUGUGGCACCCACAUGCACUUCGUGUUGGGCACCCCCACCCCCCACCCCCAGCACCCUGCCUGGAGACACCUGUGAGCCAGUCAGAGGCCCUCCUGGGCACACACACCUGUCACUUGGAGCCCGCAGGCAGCGGCUCCCACAGCAUGAGCUCACAGACGCAGGGGUGUUUGGGUCAUAGCAACCCACGAAGCUCAAUUCAGCCCCGGGAGAGCAUUUUUAUUUUUGUUGAAAAUAUCCACACCCUUAGUAUUUGGGUUCCCAGAGUCUACAACAUGAGGUCUCCUGGAAGAAAAGUCAACAAGAAUUUAAAAAGAGGAAGGAAGGAAGGAAGGAAGGAAGGAA